rnacentral:rRNA from 1 species
GAUCAUUAUUGAAUGAACUUGGUGUGGUUGUCGCUGGCCCUCUUCGGGGGCAUGUGCACGCUCAUCAUCCUCAUCUCUCCACCUGUGCACCUCUUGUAGACCUGGACUUUGGAUCGUUCCCGAACGGUUGGGAAACUUGUUUUUCCUCAAGCAUUUUUUAGRUCUACGUUUUUCAUAUACCCCAUAGUAUGUAACAGAAUGCAAUCAAUGGGCCUCAGUGCCUAUAAAACAUAUACAACUUUCAGCAACGGAUCUCUUGGCUCUCGCAUCGAUGAAGAACGCAGCGAAAUGCGAUAAGUAAUGUGAAUUGCAGAAUUCAGUGAAUCAUCGAAUCUUUGAACGCACCUUGCGCUCCUUGGUAUUCCGAGGAGCAUGCCUGUUUGAGUGUCAUUAAAUUCUCAACCUUAUUGGCUUCUGCUGAUAAUGGCUUGGAUGUGGGGGUUUAUCUUUUGCCGGCUUCUUUCACGAGAGGUCAGCUCCCCUUAAAUGCAUUAGCCGGUGCUCCCGCGUGGACCAUCUAUUGGUGUGAUAAUUAUCUACGCCGUGGAUGUCUGCAAUCAUAUGGGAUUUUUGCGCUGCUUCUAACCGUCUGUUCAAUCGGACAAAAUACAUGACAAUUUGACCUCAAAUCAGGUAGG